rnacentral:rRNA from 1 species
AUUGAACGCUGGCGGCAGGCCUAACACAUGCAAGUCGAGCGGCAGCGGGAAGUAGCUUGCUACUUUGCCGGCGAGCGGCGGACGGGUGAGUAAUGUCUGGGAAACUGCCUGAUGGAGGGGGAUAACUACUGGAAACGGUAGCUAAUACCGCAUAACGUCGCACGACCAAAGAGGGGGACCUUCGGGCCUCUUGCCAUCAGAUGUGCCCAGAUGGGAUAGGCGAGUAGGCGGGGUAACGGCUCACCUAGGCGACGAUCCCUAGCUGGUCGGAGAGGAUGAGCAGCCACACUGGAACUGAGACACGGUCCAGACUCCUACGGGAGGCAGCAGUGGGGAAUAUUGCACAAUGGGCGCAAGCCUGAUGCAGCCAUGCCGCGUGUAUGAAGAAGGCCUUCGGGUUGUAAAGUACUUGCAGCGGGGAGGAAGGCGUUGUGGUUAAUAACCACAGCGAUUGACGUUACCCGCAGAAGAAGCACCGGCUAACUCCGUGCCAGCAGCCGCCGUAAGAC